rnacentral:rRNA from 1 species
GACGAACGCUGGCGGCGUGCUUAACACAUGCAAGUCGAACGGAAAGGCCCUGCUUUUGUGGGGUGCUCGAGUGGCGAACGGGUGAGUAACACGUGAGUAACCUGCCCUUGACUUUGGGAUAACUUCAGGAAACUGGGGCUAAUACCGGAUAGGAGCUCCUGCUGCAUGGUGGGGGUUGGAAAGUUUCGGCGGUUGGGGAUGGACUCGCGGCUUAUCAGCUUGUUGGUGGGGUAGUGGCUUACCAAGGCUUUGACGGGUAGCCGGCCUGGGAGGGUGACCGGCGACAUUGGGCCUGAGAUACGGCCCAGACUCGUACGGGAGGCAGCAGGGGGGAAUAUUGCACAAUGGGCGGAAGCCUGAUGCAGCAACGCCGCGUGCGGGAUGACGGCCUUCGGGUUGUAAACCGCUUUCGCCUGUGACGAAGCGUGAGUGACGGUAAUGGGUAAAGAAGCACCGGCUAACUACGUG